UUCCAGUUUUCUCAAGGAAUAAACAUCUAAAUUCACUGAUUGCAUCUGAUUUUGACAUCUGUUUUUGAAGUUUGGUUCCUCCCAUUUUGCCAUUCCCCACACAACCCCAUUUACAGAACAAGUGACAGUCUGACGCUUUGUCAUCUUGGAUUAUCUGAAAGACAUAAUAGCUUUACGUAGCCAGCAGAUAGAAGUUAGAAGAAGGAAGAACGAGUAUUUAUUAUUUAAUGGUGGAGCUCUCAUAGACAAAGCAGCAAACUGAACUCCAGUCAUAAUGAAUGCUCAACUCAUAGUCAAACCUAACGUAGCCCUAAUCUCACAUAUGAAUGCUUUUGCUGUAUUCUUUUCUAUUGAAAGUAACAUCUAAAACCAUAUCCUUUAUGCCGUCUUCCUUUCUAUGAUUGAGCACAUUCAUUCACCUAUUAAAGUAUUUCCUAUCAUGACUACUACGUGACAUCUACGUAUGAACUAGUCUCUGAAACCAAACAAGUCAUGCAACAUUCAAACUCAGAUGAUGCAACCUCUUACCACCAAUGUCAUUGUCAUGGCAUGCAUUUCAAACUUUAGUCUGGGUCUAGUUAGCUAUACGUAGACAUAGAUUAGAAACAAAUCAUCCUCAGAAACUCAAAUGUAAAUAAAAUCUGAAAGUUCUUGAUGUGUGCUUUAUGUAAGCGACAUUCAGAUUAAAAUAUCCAGAAGUACUUUGAAAAGAAAUCCAAAUAAACAAAGAUAUGACAGUUGUCCGUCUGUAAAAAUUAUUUAUUAAAAAGAGCACCAUCGAAUCAGUCAAACCAAGAAAGAAACAGAACAAUUCAAAAAGUGCAAAAGCCAAUACUGUAUCAGCCAAAUUGACACAUAACUAAAUAUGGACUGGAUGGAAAGUUGGAAACAGAUCUUUGAGAACUGAGUUGUCUUGUUGAAGACUGCCAUUUACAUUGAUGAAGGAAACUUCAGUAAAUAGGACUAUCUAAAACUUAGGGGAGUACAAAAAUGGUUGUGCAACAGCUCAACCAUUUCACAUGGAAACAAAUCGGCUUCUUCGGAAAAUACUUAUCAUAAAAUAAUAAGUUUUCUUUUUCCAAUUUGCCCAUAGAUUUCUAAAAACAAAACUUUCCCUGUUUUUAAAUGAGCACAAACAUGCGUAAAAGAUCAUUCACAUGUUAAAUGUCAAUAAAUGGAAGCAUCUCUAAGGAAUUGCACCAAUUUAAGGAACAACCAUUUCACAUGAAAACAAAUCGGCUUCUUU
rnacentral:misc_RNA from 1 species